ensembl:lncRNA
ACAUGGCAGGGAGGUUUAAUAGACAUGGAUAAGAAGUCCGCUCACAGAAAUCCUGAAGAUGCCAAGGCUGGCAAAUAUGAAGGUAGGAGUUUAUGCUUGCUUGAAGGCCUUUUGGGUAAUUUAAGGUACAUUUUAUAAAUUAAUGCAUAUAUUUCUCUCUCAUAUGUUGCUAAUAUUUGGGAAAAUAAUUAUGUUCCAUUUUAUAUCUCUCUAAGGUAAACACAAACGAAAGAAAAAAAGAAAGCAAAACCAAAACCAGCACCGAUCCCGACAUAGAUCAGUGACAUCUUUUUCUUCAGAUGAUCGUGUGUUUCCUUCUUCUUCAUCAUCAUCUUCAGGAAGCCAGACGGAUUCGAGUACUGAAGAUGCUACCCAGGGAAAAAUUAAGAAGAAGAGAAGAGAGAAAACAAAUAAAUGGAGGGGAAAAAGAAAGGUUAGUAAUUGUGAGUAAUGUAAGAAUAAGAUUUGGCUAUUAGAGGGUAUUGUACUUAUUAAUUAAGAAACAAUCUAUAAGGAAUUUGAAGAGAUACAAGUCAAGGAUUGGUUAACAUGAUAGUUAACAUGGUGGUGCUAAGCUUAUAGUGUCCUUUGCUGCUUUUCAAAUACUUCUCAGAAAACUAUGCAGACAGGUAAAACCUUAUAAUUCUUUAGAUUCUUUUUAAUUUUGGUGUUAACAUAGUUAUAAAAUAGCCUAUGUGCUUUGAAAUAAACGCAAGUAAUAUGGACAUAAAUUAAAUGAAAGGUAAAAUAGCUACACUCCUUUCUCUUUAUUUAAUUUCUUAUGGUUAUCACUCAUAAGUAUUUGCUGUACAACCUUAGAUUAUUCCUCUGUGCACAUGGAAAUAAAUAAAACUGAUGUAAAUAAAUGUGUAUAGUUUUAUGUACUAUAUAAUACAUAUGUAAUUUUAUGUUGACAAAAAUGGACUAUCAAUUUGCUUCUCUAAAUUUAAUUUAGUUCAUAUAAGUUUAUGAACUAUUUGUAACAUAUAUAAAACUUAGACGUUUAAUAAUAAAAAGAGCAUCAUGAACCUAUUUAACUAGAACAUUACCAAUAUGAUUAUCUCCCAGUAUUUUUCUUCCUUCUUCUGUUCACUUGCUUUCCCAUUAAAAGUAAUAUCCUAAAUUUUGUGUUGCUCCUUCUCAUGCCUUUUGAAAAUAAUUUUAUUACAAAUGGAUGUAUCUUGAAAUAUUUUGUUUAGCUUAUUUGGUUUGGGGUUUUAUAAGAAUAAUACAUUUUCUGCAGUUUUCUCUGGCUACUUUUUCACACAAUAUUUUGUUUUUAUGGUUUAUUCAUAUUUUUGUGUAGCUGUAGUUCAUUAAUUUUCUCUGCCAUAUAAUACUCUAUUGGGUGAAUAAAGCACAAUUUAUCUAUUGUCCUGUGGAUGGACAUUUACAAUGUUUCUAAUUUUUUUCCUUGUAUUUAAAAAAAUAUUUUGUGAGUAAUAGGUGAGUAUAUUGAUGGGAUACAUGAGA